rnacentral:lncRNA from 10 species
CAUUGGAAACGGGAAUAUCUUCAUAUAAAAUCUAGACAGAGGCAUUCUCAGAAACUUCUUUGUGAUGUGUGUCCUCAACUAACGGCGGUACAUCCUGUCUUUUGAUACAGCAGUUUGGAAACACUCUUUUUGUAGAAUCUGCCAGUGGAUAUUUGCAUAGCUCUAAUGAUUUCUUUGGAAACGGGAAUACCUUCAUAUAAAAUCUAGACAGAGGCACUCUCAGAAACUGCUUUGUGAUAUCUGCAUUCAAGUCACAGAGUUGAACAUUCCCUUUCUUAGAGCACGUUUGAAACACACUUUUUGUAGUAUCUGGAAGUGGACAUUUGGAGCGCUUUCACGCCUUUGGUGAAAAAGGAAAUGUCUUCCCAUAAAAACUAGACAGAAGCAUUCUAAGAAACUUCUUUGUGAUAUAUGCACUCAACUAACCGAGUUGAACCUUUCUCUUUAUAGAUCAGUUUGAAAUGCUCUUUUUGUGGAAUCUGCAAGUGGAUAUUUGGAUAGCUCUGAGGAUUUCGUUGGAAUCGGGAUUACAUAUAAAAUAUAGACAGCAGCAUUCUCAGAAGCUCCUUGUGAUGUUUGCUUUUAAGUCACAGAGUUGAACAUUCCCUUCCAUAGAGCAGUUUUGAAACACUCUUUCUGUAGUAUCUCUAAGUGGACAUUUCGAGCGAUGUCAGGCCUAUGUUGAAAAAGGAAAUAACUUCCCAUAAAAAGUAGACAGAAGCAUUCUCAGAAACUUAUUUGUGAUGGGUGUCCUCAACUAACAGAGUUGAACGUUUCUUUUGAUACAACAGUUUAGAAACACUCUUUUUGUAGUAUCUGCAAGCGGAUAUUUCGAUAACUUUGAAGAUUUCGUUGGAAACGGGAAUAUCUUCAUAUACAAUCUAGACAGAGG